UACGUAGGGGGCGAGCGUUGUCCGGAAUCAUUGGGCGUAAAGGGCUCGUAGGCGGUUUGUCGCGUCGGGAGUGAAAUCCACUGGCUUAACUGGUGGCUUGCUUUCGAUACGGGCAGACUGGAGGUAUGCAGGGGAGAACGGAAUUCCUGGUGUAGCGGUGAAAUGCGCAGAUAUCAGGAGGAACACCGGUGGCGAAGGCGGUUCUCUGGGCAUGUCCUGACGCUGAGGAGCGAAAGUGUGGGGAGCGAACAGG
rnacentral:rRNA from 1 species